rnacentral:pre_miRNA from 1 species
UUUUCAGUAUAAGUAGGUCCUGUGUAAUAUUUAGGACAUACUUAUACUGAAA